rnacentral:rRNA from 1 species
UAACGCGUGAGAAUCUGCCCUUAGGAGGGGGACAACAGUUGGAAACGACUGCUAAUACCCCAUAUGCCGAGAGGUGAAACAUUAAUGGCCUGAGGAGGAGCUCGCGUCUGAUUAGCUAGUUGGUGGGGUAACGGCCUACCAAGGCGACGAUCAGUAGCUGGUCUGAGAGGAUGAUCAGCCACACUGGGACUGAGACACGGCCCAGACUCCUACGGGAGGCAGCAGUGGGGAAUUUUCCGCAAUGGGCGAAAGCCUGACGGAGCAAGACCGCGUGAGGGAGGAAGGUCUGUGGAUUGUAAACCUCUUUUCUCAGGGAAGAAGAACUGACGGUACCUGAGGAAUCAGCAUCGGCUAACUCCGUGCCAGCAGCCGCGGUAAUACGGAGGAUGCAAGCGUUAUCCGGAAUUAUUGGGCGUAAAGCGUCCGUAGGUGGCUAAGCAAGUCUGCUGUUAAAGAGCGGAGCUAAACUCCGUAAAGGCGGUGGAAACUGCAUAGCUAGAGUGUGGUAGGGGUAGAGGGAAUUCCCAGUGUAGCGGUGAAAUGCGUAGAUAUUGGGAAGAACACCGGUGGCGAAGGCGCUCUACUGGGCCACAACUGACACUGAUGGACGAAAGCUAGGGGAGCGAAAGGGAUUAGAUACCCCUG